CACGUAGGCACCAAGCGUUGUCCGGAUUUAUUGGGCGUAAAGAGCUCGUAGGCGGCUUGUCGCGUCGACUGUGAAAUCCCGCGGCUCAACUGCGGGUCUGCAGUCGAUACGGGCAGGCUAGAGUUCGGUAGGGGAGACUGGAAUUCCUGGUGUAGCGGUGAAAUGCGCAGAUAUCAGGAGGAACACCGGUGGCGAAGGCGGGUCUCUGGGCCGAUACUGACGCUGAGGAGCGAAAGCGUGGGGAGCGAACAGG
rnacentral:rRNA from 1 species